CUGUCUGAUGGAAAUCAACGGUCUGUAACCAUGGUCCUUCGGUACGCGCGCGACACUGAAUCCGCGUCUAUUAAUGGUUUAAGAAGGUGGGGCGCGUGUAUAUGGUUGGCAAAAUUGCAGAAAAUUACAGAAAUGCCCCUGUUGCUCUAUUCUUUCAAAAAUUAAAAGAAUGAGUAUUUUGGUCCAACUCAAAAGGUGCAC
rnacentral:lncRNA from 1 species